rnacentral:lncRNA from 1 species
UUGAGGCGUGGCUACCGCCUAGAACCCACCCCUUCCCCUUUGAUCUUGGACGGGUCUUGUUUAUUGGCCGCUGAUUGGCCAACAUGUGAGAUUAGCCCGCCUCUGACUUUCCAGGGGCGGGAGAAUUUCAGGCUGAUCUUUGAUAGGUUCCACACUUCUGCUACUUUGGCCGCUGCCAUUGGCCCUCACCACUUCGCUCUCCUAUUGGCUACGGAAGAAGCACCGGGGGGAAUGUUAGCUAACAACUUUGGGACCCAGACUGGUGCCUGGGAGGCUGCGGGCGCCUCCGGUGGUGUGGGGAUGACCGCAGCGACCUCCUGGACCCCGGUCGACUCUGGAGUUUUGGACGGACCCUGAAAGACCCAGUGGACCUCGGCCCCAGCCCCUUCACGGGCCUUACACCCGAAAAGUCGCUCCGCUUCAAGACUGCUCCUGCUCCAGGGCCGCGACGUUGUGCAGAGGCUGAAGCUGAAACCUCCGCUGAGGACCCCAGGCGCCGUUUCCACCCAGUCAGCACGGCAUCUUCAUUCUCCUCUGGAUCGUAUUUGCACAAGCUUUCCCCGUUUUCACUUCUGUUUUUAUUACUCAUUUUAAUGAGAUGAUGCAACUGUUAACUUUCCCAUCUGUUUGUAGCCCUUAGGUGGGGAAGAGGUUUUCCAUUUUCUUUCUAAAGCUUAGUCCUUCUCUGGACCUCUGAUCCCCCUCCCCCAUCCAGUCUAUUCUCUUCCUUUUCAGUAGUGGUUAUUAACUUUUCCGUAGCGACCUUUUGUAAAAUAAUAAAGCUACAAAUUCUCUUUCUCCCACUCCCUAUUUCCCAUGCACACACAAAAUUUUGCAUAUAACGCCUGAGUUGCAAAGUCCCUAAAAUGACUUGUGCACUCCUUAAGUACAUUCACAUGUACCUUCGAAGCCUACAGCAGUGUCUGCUCCUUUCCCUUGAGAAAUGAAUAGGGGCCACAUAAACCCCUCAAUCCUGCUUGAGUACUGAUUCCCUUUACUGCCAAAUUGCUCCAGUAAGACCUUACACCUCCUAUGCUCUUUAAGCUCUAUACUGUAUUUUUACUGCUUUAUUCAGUGGUCAUAAAUUUUCUUUCCAAAUCCAAUGGCCAUUUUCUUUUUUUUAAAAUGAUGCACAUUGCUUUAUUAAAGUGAAAUUUAAAUAAACAUGUAUACAUUCGA